AAUCGGCAGGAGGCGGGGGCGGGGAUUAACGGAAGGUCCCGCGUGACGCCCUGGGCCGUUUCCGGCGAGGUUGAGGCAAGGGCGCGGGCAGGGCCGGAGCCAAUCAGGGCCGAGUGCGCGGCGGGGCGACGGGGCCAUUUGCCGGGGCGGUUGUGUGCGCUGGGAGCCGGAUCGUGGGGGCAGCUGCGUGUGCUGACAUGGGGGCAGGAGGAAGAGCAAGAUGAGCCCCGCAUGUCUGCGGGCGCCCAGCUGCAGCGACUCAGGCAGCAGUGGCGCGUGGCCAGACCUGUGCCGAGACCCAGCUUGGGGCAGGCUGAAGGCGAGCACAGCGCUCUGCCGAUACUUUGUGACCAUCACACUCCGUACUCACCAACAGAUUUCUAGAUCAAGAAGUCACAGUCUACUUCCAGUCUGUAUCAGAAACUGACAUACCACUCAGUUUUUGUCGAAUUGCUCAGUUAAGUGAAACAGUGCUGUAUGACCUUUGUAUUUUUAUGCCAGCUUCAUGCCCAAAAGACACAAACAUGUCCUGAAUGUUGCCUAACACAAGAGUGGGGCAGAUAGAAGAUAUUAAUCCGGCAUAAAUGCCAAUACAGUAUUAAUCCAUUAGCACCUUAGAUAUAAAUCUGAACCUGCAGAAUGAGUAAAUAAAAGCAUCAUGUUGCAGUGUUGUAUAAUUUCUAUCUGGUACAGGAAAGCUUAAAUUUAGUGUAAUUUCAAAUUACAUCUGUACCAUAUAUUGCAUGGCAAACUACAGUUUGACAAAAGUGUUUUUUUUGCAUGACAGUGCUGACUUCAGCAGCCCCUAUCCCACACAAGCUUUUUGGCUAGAUUAUUUUUAACUCAGUUUAGUUUCUGUAUCUGGUUUAUCUCGCAGAUCUGUAAACAGUUUAUUGAUAUGGUCAACAGGAGAGAGAAAAAUAAUGAUGGAGAAAGGGCAGGAUGAUGACAUGGAUUUUUAAGUCAGUGCUGUUGCUGCAAGAGGUAUUUGUUAAACUAUACUUACAGUGUAGGCACAUGGCUUAUAAAUCUGUGUGCACAUUUCAUGGCGUAUUGGAGAUAAGCCAUCCAGGUUUAUGUUAUAAUCCCACUCAAACCUGAUUCUGAAGGUGGUCAGAUUCAGAGAAAAGCCUAACUCUGGAAGCCAACUGUCUCCUACAUGAAUUGGCUUGGGUGAGAUAAACUGCAUUUUUGGUUAUACCCUCCCCCCCACUAUGAAUAUCAUUUCCUAGGAAAAAAAAAGAGCAAGGUAGUCCAAACUCAUCCAACAGGACAGAAAGCUCCUUCUACCUCACUUAGUGAAUUAAAACAUAUGCCUGAUUUCUUCUGUGAAAACUCAGAAUGUAGCUUGGUGGGAAAGUGGAUUUCCUGAUUUUUUGCUUUUAUCUUCUAGUAAAAAAUGCGUAGCAUGGUUAUUUAUUUUAAUUAAUCUUGGGCAGCCAUAGAAAGGUUAAAGAGUAAAGAAUGAUAGCUCAUAGUAAGCAGGCCUGUCAUUCCAACAGAAGACUCCAUAUAAAAAUGAAACAACAUCACGAAGCAUAUUCCACAUUCACACAGAAAAAUUUGCUGGCCUUGUCCCAUGAUUUGUUCUAACAGAACUCUCCCAUGUGCAUUUUCAUCACUGCUCCUUCAUUACAGCAAACAGUAGUGGAGUCUCCCAGUGCUUCUUUAACUGUUAGGGAAGAGUGAAUGUUCGGUGACAACUUAACUUUGUCAUUUUUUCUUCCAGUACCUCUUAGCCCUAUGGGGAUUUCUGUUGACGUAAUGCCACAAACAUAAACAGAAUGUUGUGAUUUCAAAUUAAAAGUAAUACUGGUUUCUUGCUUGUCUCUAAAAUUGCAGAAUAGGGAAGGAAUAUGAAAUAUAAGCAGGAUUUUAAAUUUGCAUUUGGCUGCAAGAUAAUUGUUAUCUCAGUUCCAUCAAAAUGGGUCACAUUAACCUUUAGCUUCAGAGGAAAAGACAGAGAGUGUUAUUAGAUCUGGUGUGAUGAUGAGUUAUACAAUUUGAAUGCUACCUGGAGUUCAGGUGCUUGAGAUAUUGCACUGUCAAAAGUACUCCAUUUGUUCCUGCUUUCCUACCCUGCAAAAGUAGUCAAGAUACCUCCUUUUCUGGAGGUAGAUGUCACUGCUUACAGGCCACUACAGACUGUAGCAGUGGUGCCCCUUGUAAUUCACUCGUAGUGCUCUGUUGGUAUGUCACAGUGAUAUGACAGUUUAGUGCAGGAACAAUAAAUGAAUAACCCAUAAUGGAAAGACCAAAGGACCAUCAGACUACAAAACACCUUCAGGACGGUUCAGUUUCUCCACAAUUUUUGGAAACACAAUGACAUGUAAUUCCCAUUCCUAAAUGUACUGGCCUCUACUUUACAAGUCAUUUUAAAAGGCGUUUGGAUUUUUUCUUUUAAAAAGCAAGUGAACAACUAAAUUUUUCAAGCAUUUACCAAAAUACGAGAUCACAGUUAUGUACCUCCCACAUUAUGGAAAUCAUUGCAUCAGAAUAGUGGGAUCACUACUGGCUGUUUCAAAAGGUUUCUGAUGUAAGAAAUGAUCCAUUUAGUAGAAUAUGUGUUUCCAGAGCAGAGAAGAAAAUUUUUAAACCUCCCCACUCAUCAUAAUUGCUUAGAAGCACAAAAAAAGACAAGAAUUUUGUUGCCCUUCCCAUUGUUUUCUUAAAAGCAUCUGCCUCUCUGAACAGAGAAGGCAUCGUCUAGGGAAAUGCAUGGAGGAAAGCUACACCCAUAGCAUUUCCAUUUUGUAAAGAUGGUGAGAAUUUUUGUGCUGCUACUAGACAGCUAUAUGAGACAAAUAAUGAUAGGGCACUUACUUAGCCCAUUUUACUUCUUGGUACAAAACCCACUUAUUAACAGGAAGAAGAAGCAAAUAGUGAAGAAAUAAGAACGAAUUACCUAUUUGCAGACAUUACUGGAAUGUAUUUACAAGUUGAUUAAUCCCCCUUCUCAAGUAAAAGCCUCACUACCAUGAGUAAAAAUUCUUACUGGGUAAAACAACUCCAUUUGGAGACUCUAAGCAGCACCAAACCCCUGGUUUAUUAAAUCUGUUUAAUCCGCUCUCCUCCAGCAUCCAUGCAAUGAAAUUAUAAAUACCCAGUGACACUGAAAAACCUUUUGAAUUCUAUUCCAGUGAAACACAACACAGAAGUCCUAAUUCAGCAAAGCAGUAAUACCUAUGUUUGACUUUGUAUUUUCUGAUCCCAUUAGAACGCCCUGUAUGUCAAGUUCUUCCCUUCAAAGGAAGACCUGUCAGCCUGCCUGACCUAACUGGCCAGACAGAAAAAGCAGUUUUCCAGAGACUAACUUCCUACAAUCUUUGAUGAAACUGACUGUGACCGUGCAGUUUUUCUUUUCCAUAACUCUCCUUCAUAAGCGAAGGGACCUAUUUCAUUUACAGCAGAAACUGUCAAUUCCCCCAAACCUUUAACGAGUAAGACCAGUUGACCACUCAAUGAAAAAUUCCCCUUCAGUAGGAUAUAAAAAACUUCACUCACCAAAUUGUUUUCCAUCAAGCGUUCUGCACAAAUCUCAGUUAUACCUUUGUUUUACAGAUUGGGUUGCCAAGGCUCCUUCUUCACACUAUACUGUUUUGAGUCCUUCAGAUCACUGAACUUUUGCAGUCCUAAUGUAAUAAAUGUAACUGAAAUAUUAGCAAAGAUUCUAAAACUCCUUCCAUUAGCUAACUUCUGUUGACUUCCCUGCAAUCAAAACGCAGCUACUACUUCUUCUUUUUUUUUUUUUUGCAGACACACAAACACACCAUGGGGGGCAGGACCAGUACCUCAACUUGCUCAAAUCCAACACAUGUGACAAAUGCCCCAAAAGAAUAUGGUCCAUAGAAAUGAUUCAUGCAAGAAAAUUUUAAGCUAGUAGUUUUCAGUCUUUAUUUCUGCUCUAAAUAAUUCUUCAAAGUGUGAUGCUGCUAAACUGGUUUAACUGGGCAAAAAUUAAUGGGGGGCUGGUCAGGGACAGUAGGGGCUGUUAGUGUCCUCAGGGCCCUGACACUUAGUACUCAUUCGGUUGUGUGUCACCCCUGGCUUUCUGCACCACAUACUUUUCAAAUCCUGCUCUGAUGAUAGCCAUUUCUCUAUGGCUCUCCCUUGUGCCUUUCCAAGAUUAUGGAAGCAUUUAUUUUUAAACACCUUUCACAGAGGUGAGAGAGAAUUACUCCUGCCUCUCUCUACCCUCAACUUACAGAACAGAAUUGAAAUACAGUGAGAUUACAGUGGGAAGUGUCUAUAUAUUCAGAAUGCCCAUUUAGAGAUGCCAAAGACUAGGUAUUUUAUAAACAUUGUACUGCUUUGGGACACUUCUCCCACUGAUUUGUAGCUGCAAGAAUUCAGCACUUCUGUAAAUUAAAUCACAGUGCCUCAAACCACAUGGCCAUAAAAUGAGGAAUGCACAUCAGCAAUUACAUAAGAAAAGCUUGGGUUUUUUUUGUCCAGCAUCACCCAGCAACUCUGCAACCAAGGCAGGGAGAAUUGUAUAACUGACUCAGCUUAGAAACCAACUUUUCUAUUCCAGAUAUUUUGUUUGCUAUCUCCCUCUCAGCUUUCAAAGAACGUGAUACAGCAACUCUAGGACAGUUUCUUCUGUUACACCUGGUACACGCCGGAGCAAAAUUCUUGGUUGGGGAGGGGAGGCAUAAUUUGCUGACUAUUCUAUAAUGAUUAUGCUAAAAGAGGGGAAAAUGAGGGCUGAAAAGCUGUCUUCAACUGGAGAGCCCUUACCUUUUCAGUUUUUAUAGUUCUCUGUCUAUACCAUUGUCAAAUCAAAUAGCAGCGUGUCCUAGUGAUAGGCACAAUGUUGGAAGGUGUGUGGUGAGGGAGGGAGAAAAUAUGCUGAAGGCAGCUGCCAGGUUAGAUUCGAGCUCUUUACCAGUUUUGGAUGUGCCCUAGGGGAUCACAGCCCUUUUCUUCUGUGAUUUUUUCACGUUUAACAUCUUCUUUUCCAUCUCCUUCAUUCUGCCCCUCUCCUGCCUUCUUCCCAUGCAGGCUCCUUAUUUCCAUUUGUCUCACCUUACUGAUCCCAAUAAAGACUAGCUCUUCAAAUUUCAUGAUUCAGCCCCUUGACCUGCUGUUUCCAGCCCUCUCACUUACCAAACCAGUCUGUAUCUUUCAACUCAGUUCCCAAUGCCUGUGCUGGUUCCCCAAUCCAACACCUUUCAAUCUGACUUCUUGGGCUCCUCAUCCACUCUAAAUCCCAUUCUCCCCAGUCCAGUGGCCCAGUAUCAGUCAGUCUCACUUCUCCCUGGCUCACAGUCAUUUAUAGACUACAAAACCUUGUGAUAGGCUAUGCCCAUCCAUUACUGCUUCCAGAAGCUACAAUUCACUGAACUGCUAGCAAGUAUCCACUUAUUCAAAAUACACUUUGCUUUAAAACUGGCAAGAGAAAGGUAUACAGAGCAAAAAGGAAGCAUUCUGGCAGUCCUGACUAGUCAGAGCUUGGGUGGAAUCUAAGUUCAGCUGAGGCACUGAAAUAAAGAAAUUCUAGAGAAAAUAAUUUCUUCCUGUCACCAGAAUUAGGUAUACUUCCAGUGACUGUUAUCAAGUGACCCAGUAAAAACAAUAUUGUCAUUGCUACCAAGAGGCUUAAUGCUAACUUUGCAAGGCCACAGAACUGGUGGGCUGUUAGGCUUGUUAUCAGCUUGUGUGAAUUUGCUGUGUGAACUGAAGCUGGGUACCAGGUGUCUCUUGUUAUGAUGAGGAGUGUAAGUGUGGGAUAAUAGCAAAGACCUUGAAAAUACGAGUAUAGGCUGAAAACAGAGGCCACAAGACUGUAAACAUCUCACUGAUGGUCAGCUAUUAGUUACUGAAGAAGUACAACCUUAAGAGCUCAGAAAAACUGCUUUACACAUAACAAAGAGAACAAGGAAACAGCAAGCAAGAAAACAGCUGAACAACAGGAUAAAGCACCUAAUGUGGCCUGGGGAAGUUAGCCCCUGUCAGCACUGCACAGCAUAUAGUCCAAGGUGUGGAGGCCAAAGACUGACAGUCUGCUGUGAAACAAAAAUGUGUUAGAAGAGGACCAGAUCUUGACAGUGGAGAAAGAUUACUGCUGGAAAAUAAUCAUCAUCGCUGGAUCACCAGGGAGUUGUUUUGCUGCAUGCAAAGUCAAAGCUCCAAGCACACUGCAUGCUUCAAGGACCGUGACGCUUCAAGGAUCUUCUGUCCUGACAGCCAGUCUCCAGGACUGUGUACAGCAAUAAAAGGGGUGUGUAUGUCUGAGUGCACAGAUUACAUGCACUUCACCUCUCAAGCUCUCUAAUCCCUCAAUAAGGCCUUACUGUAUAUAAAUUCAAUACACCAUGGUCAGGCUUAAACACUUUAAAAAUACACUUUUCCUUACUGUGCAAAAAUAGAAAAAAUCCUCAGAGUAAGAUGGCUGUCCCAUUGAACUAAAAGGCAAAACUCCAACAGAACCAGGAUUUUAGACAUCAUACAGAGGUUCAGAGAGUAUGGUUUUGCAAUUGAUGUUGCUACACCGUCAUCAGAAAUAUAAGAGUCGAAGAUCCCUGAUAUCUGACAUCAUUAAGGAGGUCUUAACCCUACUCAUUUUCUGUGGGAUUUACUGUCUGCAGGAAAGUGACAGUAUCAAGGCCACUAGCUAUUUCUAGGAGGUGGCAAUAUAAAACUGCCUAAGUUGGAACAAUUCUCUCACUGUUCCAAACUUCCUGUAAUUUUAAUGUUUCUUGCUUUUGUGCUUUACAGUAGAAUUGUAACUGCAUAUUCUCUUACCUUCAGUUCUACUGCUUUAAAACAGGAUAAAGAAAACCACAGGGUCUUGCUCUUUUGUCAUUUUAGACCAUAACAGGCAAGGCAGUAUUCUGCCAUCAGAAAAUUAUUGCAAGAGUUAAUUAUUUGUGUUCUGGAGGCAUCUUUUUCCCUCUGCAGGGAAGAGGUAUGUAUCUGUUCUGGAGAGCUGAUAGUAAGCAUUUGUACAGGAAGAACCUAUUGAACCUUGCCAAACAAGUUGGGACUUUGGGCUGCAAACCAUGAUGUUUGACUGAACUAAAGCCUCAUGAGCAAGUUUACUGGAGUGUAAACUAAAAUUUAGUGAGCCUUACCACUUUAGAAGCUUCCUUUAGAAGCCACUCUAAGUAUCCCAAUUAAGAAAUACUUUCUUAAUGAGCUGCUUUUUCAAUCAGCUAAUUUUUGAGGCAAAUGUCAUUAUAGUUAUUCUCAGUAUUUAAUACACAUUCUGUGUUAAGGUAAUUCCAGAGUUGUUCUCUACAACCAAUAAAGUGUAUGAGCUGGUUUCAUAAACAGUUAAUGGAUCAUUACAAUCUGGAAUUCAACAGACUAUUGCAUGGCUUGUAACCCUAUUUAAUUCCUCAAAUGAUAUUAUUAUGGCUCAUUAUGAGGCAUAUUACUAACUUCCCUAAGGCACCUCCAGUUUUUUAUUCUCUUUAUAAACCGUUCAUAAGCAUACAGAACAUACAUUGUGCACUGCACAUAACCCUUUGUGGCAUAAAAAGGGUCUGCAUUAACUUGGAUCUCUUUCCACAACUGUAGUUCAGCACCUACAAAUAAACUAUGCCUGUAUUUGUAUCUA